GAUGAACGCUGGCGGCGUGCCUAAUACAUGCAAGUCGAGCGAACAGACGAGGAGCUUGCUCCUCUGACGUUAGCGGCGGACGGGUGAGUAACACGUGGAUAACCUACCUAUAAGACUGGGAUAACUUCGGGAAACCGGAGCUAAUACCAGAUAAUAUAUUGAACCGCAUGGUUCAAUAGUGAAAGACGGCUUUGCUGUCACUUAUAGAUGGAUCCGCGCCGCAUUAGCUAGUUGGUAAGGUAACGGCUUACCAAGGCAACGAUGCGUAGCCGACCUGAGAGGGUGAUCGGCCACACUGGAACUGAGACACGGUCCAGACUCCUACGGGAGGCAGCAGUAGGGAAUCUUCCGCAAUGGGCGAAAGCUUGACGGAGCAACGCCGCGUGGGUGAUGAAGGUCUUCGGAUCGUAAAACUCUGUUAUUAGGGAAGAACAAAUGUGUAAGUAACUAUGCACGUCUUGACGGUACCUAAUCAGAAAGCCACGGCUAACUACGUG
rnacentral:rRNA from 1 species